CGCCGAAAAUGUACCGGGGCUAAACAUAUUACCGAAACUGUGGAUGAACCUCUUUAGAGGUUCGUGGUAGGAGAGCGUUCUAAGGGCGGUGAAGUCAGACCGGAAGGACUGGUGGAGCGCUUAGAAGUGAGAAUGCCGGUAUGAGUAGCGAAAGAAGGGUGAGAAUCCCUUCCACCGAAUAUCUAAGGUUUCCUGAGGAAGGCUCGUCCGCUCAGGGUUAGUCGGGACCUAAGCCGAGGCCGAUAGGCGUAGGCGAUGGACAACAGGUAGAGAUUCCUGUACCAGUGCUAAUUGUUUAACCGAUGGGGUGACACAGAAGGAUAGGGAAUCGCACGAAUGGAAAUGUGCGUCCAAGCAGUGAGUGUGAGAAGUAGGCAAAUCCGCUUCUCGCGAAGCAUGAGCUGUGAUGGGGAAGGAAAUUAAGUACGGAAGUUCC
rnacentral:rRNA from 1 species